GGGACACGUGGUAUCCUGUCUGAAUAUGGGGGGACCAUCCUCCAAGGCUAAAUACUCCUGACUGACCGAUAGUGAACCAGUACCGUGAGGGAAAGGCGAAAAGAACCCCGGCGAGGGGAGUGAAAAAGAACCUGAAACCGUGUACGUACAAGCAGUGGGAGCACCCUUUGGGGUGUGACUGCGUACCUUUUGUAUAAUGGGUCAGCGACUUAUAUUCUGUAGCAAGGUUAACCGUAUAGGGGAGCCGGAGGGAAACCGAGUCUUAAUUGGGCGUUAAGUUGCAGGGUAUAGACCCGAAACCCGGUGAUCUAGCCAUGGGCAGGUUGAAGGUUGGGUAACACUAACUGGAGGACCGAACCGACUAAUGUUGAAAAAUUAGCGGAUGACCUGUGGCUGGGGGUGAAAGGCCAAUCAAACCGGGAGAUAGCUGGUUCUCCCCGAAAGCUAUUUAGGUAGCGCCUCGUGAAUUCAUCUCCGGGGGUAGAGCACUGUUUCGGCUAGGGGGCCAUCCCGGCUUACCAACCCGAUGCAAACUGCGAAUACCGGAGAAUGUUAUCACGGGAGACACACGGCGGGUGCUAACGUCCGUCGUGAAGAGGGAAACAACCCAGACCGCCAGCUAAGGUCCCAAAGUCAUGGUUAAGUGGGAAACGAUGUGGGAAGGCCCAGACAGCCAGGAUGUUGGCUUAGAAGCAGCCAUCAUUUAAAGAAAGCGUAAUAGCUCACUGGUCGAGUCGGCCUGCGCGGAAGAUGUAACGGGGCUAAACCAUGCACCGAAGCUGCGGCAGCGACACUGUGUGUUGUUGGGUAGGGGAGCGUUCUGUAAGCCUGUGAAGGUGUGUCGUGAGGCAUGCUGGAGGUAUCAGAAGUGCGAAUGCUGACAUAAGUAACGAUAAAGCGGGUGAAAAGCCCGCUCGCCGGAAGACCAAGGGUUCCUGUCCAACGUUAAUCGGGGCAGGGUGAGUCGACCCCUAAGGCGAGGCCGAAAGGCGUAGUCGAUGGGAAACGGGUUAAUAUUCCCGUACUUGGUGUUACUGCGAAGGGGGGACGGAGAAGGCUAUGUUGGCCGGGCGACGGUUGUCCCGGUUUAAGCGUGUAGGUGUGUGUUCCAGGUAAAUCCGGUUCACUUUAACACUGAGGCGUGACGACGAGGCACUACGGUGCUGAAGCAACAAAUGCCCUGCUUCCAGGAAAAGCCUCUAAGCAUCAGGUAACAUCAAAUCGUACCCCAAACCGACACAGGUGGUCAGGUAGAGAAUACCAAGGCGCUUGAGAGAACUCGGGUGAAGGAACUAGGCAAAAUGGUGCCGUAACUUCGGGAGAAGGCACGCUGACACGUAGGUGAAGUGAUUUACUCAUGGAGCUGAAGUCAGUCGAAGAUACCAGCUGGCUGCAACUGUUUAUUAAAAACACAGCACUGUGCAAACACGAAAGUGGACGUAUACGGUGUGACGCCUGCCCGGUGCCGGAAGGUUAAUUGAUGGGGUCAGCGCAAGCGAAGCUCCUGAUCGAAGCCCCGGUAAACGGCGGCCGUAACUAUAACGGUCCUAAGGUAGCGAAAUUCCUUGUCGGGUAAGUUCCGACCUGCACGAAUGGCGUAAUGAUGGCCAGGCUGUCUCCACCCGAGACUCAGUGAAAUUGAACUCGCUGUGAAGAUGCAGUGUACCCGCGGCAAGACGGAAAGACCCCGUGAACCUUUACUAUAGCUUGACACUGAACAUUGAGCCUUGAUGUGUAG
rnacentral:rRNA from 1 species